GAUGAACGCUGGCGGCGUGCCUAAUACAUGCAAGUCGAGCGAACGGACGAGUAGCUUGCUUUUCUGAUGUUAGCGGCGGACGUGUGAGUAACACGUGGAUAACCUACCUAUAAGACUGGGAUAACUUCGGGAAACCGGAGCUAAUACCGGAUAAUAUUUUGAACCGCAUGGUUCAAAAGUGAAAGACGGUCUUGCUGUCACUUAUAGAUGGAUCCGCGCUGCAUUAGCUAGUUGGUAAGGUAACGGCUUACCAAGGCAACGAUGCAUAGCCGACCUGAGAGGGUGAUCGGCCACACUGGAGCUGAGACACGGUCCAGACUCCUACGGGAGGCAGCAGUAGGGAAUCUUCCGCAAUGGGCGAAAGCCUGACGGAGCAACGACGCGUGAGUGAUGAAGGUCUUCGGAUCGUAAAACUCUGUUAUUAGGGAAGAACAUAUGUGUAAGUAACUGUGCACAUCUUGACGGUACCUAAUCAGAAAGCCACGGCUAACUACGU
rnacentral:rRNA from 1 species